rnacentral:rRNA from 1 species
UGGGGAAUAUUGGACAAUGGGGGGAACCCUGAUCCAGCCAUGCCGCGUGUGUGAAGAAGGCCUUAUGGUUGUAAAGCACUUUAAGCGAGGAGGAGGGUACUGGUAUUAAUACUACCAGCUACUGGACGUUACUCGCAGAAUAAGCACCGGCUAACUCUGUGCCAGCAGCCGCGGUAAUACAGAGGGUGCGAGCGUUAAUCGGAUUUACUGGGCGUAAAGCGUGCGUAGGCGGCUAAUUGAGUCGGAUGUGAAAUCCCCGAGCUUAACUUGGGAAUUGCAUUCGAUACUGGUUAGCUAGAGUGUGGGAGAGGAUGGUAGAAUUCCAGGUGUAGCGGUGAAAUGCGUAGAGAUCUGGAGGAACACCAGUGGCGAAGGCGACCACCUGGGCUCAUACUGACACUGAGGUGCGAAAGCGUGGGGAGCAAACAGG